UACGUGCCAGCAGCCGCGGUAAUACGGAGGAUGCGAGCGUUAUCCGGAUUUAUUGGGUUUAAAGGGUGCGUAGGUUGUUCGGUAAGUCAGCGGUGAAACCUGAGCGCUCAACGUUCAGCCUGCCGUUGAAACUGCCGGGCUUGAGUUCAGUGGCGGCAGGCGGAAUUCGUGGUGUAGCGGUGAAAUGCAUAGAUAUCACGAGGAACUCCGAUUGCGAAGGCAGCUUGCCAUACUGCGACUGACACUGAAGCACGAAGGCGUGGGUAUCAAACAGGAUUAGAUACCCUGGUAGUCCACGCAGUAAACGAUGAUUACUAGGAGUUUGCGAUAUACCGUCAAGCUUCCACAGCGAAAGCGUUAAGUAAUCCACCUGGGGAGUACGCCGGCAACGGUGAAACUCAAAGGAAUUGACGGGGGCCCGCACAAGCGGAGGAACAUGUGGUUUAAUUCGAUGAUACGCGAGGAACCUUACCCGGGAUUGAA
rnacentral:rRNA from 1 species